GGUUGUCGCUGGCCUCUCGGGGCAUGUGCACGCCCGAGCCAUCCCCAACAAACGCCGUGGGCCUUCGGGCCCGCGUAUAUUUACUCUGAAUGUGUAUAGAAUGUAAACCAUUUGUUUGCCCUGAAAAAGCAAACGAAAAAUAGUACAACUUUCAACAACGGAUCUCUUGGCUCUCGCAUCGAUGAAGAACGCAGCGAAAUGCGAUAAGUAAUGUGAAUUGCAGAUUUUCAGUGAAUCAUCGAAUCUUUGAACGCACCUUGCGCCCCUUGGUAUUCCGAGGGGCAUGCCUGUUUGAGUGUCAUUAAAUCCUCAACCGCGCCGAUGAUUUUCGGUGGGGCUUGGACUUUGGAGCGUGCUGGCGAAGGUCGGCUCCUCUUUAAAUGCAUCAGCGGAAGAAACCUUUGUCUUUCCCGCCUUCGGUGUGAUAAUUGUGUUGCGCCGUGGUGGAACUUCAACGAUCCGCUUACAAUGGUCUUCGGACGAAACCUCAUGUCAUCUUGACCUCAAAUCAGGUAGGACUACCCGCUGAACUUAAGCAUAUCAAUAAGCGGAGGAAAAGAAACUAACAAGGAUUCCCCUAGUAACUGCGAGUGAAGCGGGAAAAGCUCAAAUUUAAAAUCUGGCGGUCCUCGCGGCCGUCCGAGUUGUAAUCUGGAGAAGCGUUUUCCGCGUCGGACCGUGUACAAGUCUUCUGGAAUGGAGCGUCGUAGAGGGUGAGAAUCCCGUCUCUGACACGGACCGCCGAUGCUUUUGUGAUACGCUCUCGAAGAGUCGAGUUGUUUGGGAAUGCAGCUCAAAAUGGGUGGUAAAUUCCAUCUAAAGCUAAAUAUUGGCGAGAGACCGAUAGCGAACAAGUACCGUGAGGGAAAGAUGAAAAGCACUUUGGAAAGAGAGUUAAACAGUACGUGAAAUUGUUGAAAGGGAAACGUUUGAAGUCAGUCGCGUCGGUCGAGACUCAACCUUGCUCUUUUGCUCGGUGCACUUCUCGGCCGACGGGUCAGCAUCAAUUUCGACCGU
rnacentral:rRNA from 1 species